rnacentral:rRNA from 1 species
UACAGAGGGUGCAAGCGUUGUUCGGAUUUACUGGGCGUAAAGGGCGCGUAGGCGGCAACUCAAGUCAGCUGUGAAAUCUCCGAGCUUAACUCGGAACGGUCAGCUGAUACUGUUUUGCUAGAGUGCAGAAGGGGCAAUCGGAAUUCUUGGUGUAGCGGUGAAAUGCGUAGAUAUCAAGAGGAACACCUGAGGUGAAGACGGGUUGCUAGGCUGACACUGACGCUGAGGCGCGAAAGCCAGGGGAGCAAACGGG